GUAUAGGCUCGGAGAUAUUGAAUUUAUCCUUCUUUUUUUUGUGGCUGCUAAUCAUGGUUCGGAUGUACACCCGUACGGCGAAAGAAGCGAAUUUGACAACACAAAACGUCCAUCAAAUAUGGAACAAGUACUACACGAACGGACACAUAGACGAAAACAUGCGAAACCUUCACCUGGUUUCUCUAAGGAUGCUAAACACCAAGCUGCGUUUUACUGCCAGAAAUUUUUUUGCUUUAGAUCAUACUUUCUUCCGCAUGAUGAUAGGAGCGGUUAUGACCUAUUUGGUGAUUUUGAUACAGUUUCGAAUUUAAGGACACUGUACUUCUGUAUCUUGAAAAUAAUAACGGGUGUACAAUAAAAAAUAUAUUUGGGGCAGGCGCUGAAAAUUCAAUUGUUUGCGGCUUUUUUAAAGUGUAGAAAGAGUCACGUAAAAACUGAAGGUCAUUGAGAAUGACAUUUAGCGGCAAAUAAUGUUUGGUUAGAAAACAUUUUCUCACUUUAAUGCAAAUCUGCUUGACGCAAAUUAUUCAAAUAAAAUUAAUAAUUAAUUACUGGUACGGCCUGUACAACCGGCAGCACUCUUUGGGGCGACCCGCGCUUUUGUUGAUGGCACUCUUUGCUGGGUGGUCCCCCUCUGUCAAGGGGCGGCGGCGGCCUUUUAGUGCGGCAUUUCUUAUCGGCGGCUCGUACCAUAGUCGAAGACCAAAGGGUUGGGCGGACCAUACCCUUUCACAUCUGCCUUUACCGCACUUGAACAUUUUUUAGUUUGUUAGUCCUUCGAUAGCAGACUAGUUAUGUGGACUGUUACUAUCCAGUGUUGUGUACAAUAAAACAAUAAUUACAGUCCA